AGAGGUUAAGGUCAGGGCAUUGGUGGGGUAGAUGGCUGGCAGGACCAUGGGCAGCUCCUGGGUAGUGUAGGGGCCAAGGGCAGGCUGCCCCAAGGUGUGUCACUCUGACAGGCAGACUGUGCUGGAGUUGAAAAUAAUCUAGGCCCAAAAAGCCAGAAAGAAACUUUGGGCUUCCUGCCCCUUAACUGCAUAAAAGGCUUCCGAUGGAGGAACUGCUCCAGCAGGGGAGCCACCGCCAUAGGGAACUCCUUGCUUAUGAACUAGGUGUGGUAGAGAGGGAAGUGGCCAAGUCCGGUAACAUUCCUCUAGGUCCCUUCCUUCUGUGUGGCCCCUCAAGCAUUUGGUUACCAAGGAUUUACAUUCAUAUUCCUGUGAAUUGCCUUCCUUCCCUUCCCUUCCCCCUUCUCCUUAGUUUAGGAUGAGGUCUGUACCUCCUUUUCCCUUAUUGUCUUUGGAGUCUGUCUGUGGAUUACCCUAGGUACAUAAUUAAACUUUGACACGAGACAGAUUAACAGGAGAAAAAACCAAUUUGUUUCUUAGACCAGCUAAAAGAACCUUGAAGGGUAGGGAAAUUCUUCCUCCCCAACAGCUGGCAUAGUCGGAAGGAGACUUGAACUCACUGGCCAUUGCUUGCUUCAGUCCUCUGCAGAUGAGAAUGUGGGACAUCUGAUGGACAGCUUGUGGAAGGACAAUUGAAACAUUGGUUAUAUUACCAAGGCUUUGACUGAAAUGUCAUAUUUAAAGGAGAUGUGCAUAGACUCAGAUACGACCAGACAGUGCUAAGGAACCAAGGUUGACAGCCAAUGAAGUCCCUUGGAAAAACUGGCUUGGUGCUCUGCUUAUAGCAUUCUCAGCAGCCAGGUGAGAAGGCCAAUUCCUGGCUGAUGCAGGAACCUUGAGAAGGGAAGUAAUGCAACCCAUAGGUAUUGCAGCAGCGAGCAUCGGGUGCAGAAGGAAAUGGGCUUACAGCCAGAUCCUCAGCCGCACAUCCCUGAACCUCAUUUUCUUGUCUGGAAAGGGGUGGCAUAUUUCCCUGUCCUUCCUGCUGCUGCACAGGCUGUUAUGAGCCUCAUUGUGACUGAGAAAGGGCUUUAGGCAUUUUAAAGUUUCAGGUGAUUAAUGUGAUGUAAUGUGAAUACUGUUAAGCUUGAAACAAUUUUUAAAAAUUGAGAUUGUUAAAGAAUCAGAGAGACAACUGAUAAUGGGCAUGUGUGCAGUGUGGGGAGAGGAGAGUGUGGAUACGGAUGCAUGUUAAUUGGGCAUCUGGGUGAAGGGAAUAUGAGAGCUAUUUAUAUUGUCCUGGCAAGUUUUCAGUUGAAUUUGAAAUUGUUUCAAAAAUACGUUAUUAAAUAAAACUUUAAAAAAUGGCCAGUUUUGGUUAAGAAUGGUAUUUCAACUAGGUAUAAAAAUGCAACAGUCUCUAGUGGUGUGGAGGGGAGGCAGAGAGGAAGGGAGGAUUUUGAACUGUGAUAUUUUGGUGCUAAAUCAUUACACAGCAGUGGAUAAAUGAUGCAGAAAGGUAUAGUAUUGGCUCCGUUUUCAAGGUGAGGGAAAUUGGGAGGGAUGAACUUGGUUAAGUCACUCUCUAAGUGGCCCAGUGGGCACUGGAAUGAGUGGGAUCUGGAGCCCAGCGCUGGCCCCUCCUCCUCCUCAGGUGCUCUCUCCCAUGCACACA